AUGUUCCCCUUCCUGCGCUCCCUGGCAUCCGUCAACGACCCCAAAAGCAGGCUGGACAUCCAGGUGAAGCUGUUCGUCGUCCCCGCCAGCCCUCACCAGAAAGAGAUCCCCUACGCCAGGGUCAACCAUAACAAGUACAUGGUCACAGACAAGGUGGCUUACAUAGGAACCUCAAACUGGUCCGGUGACUACUUCCUGCACACGGCCGGGUCUGCGCUGGUGGUGAACCAGACUGCAGCCCAGUCCACGGGGCCCAGCGUCCAGGAGCAGCUCCAGGCCGUGUUCGAGAGGGACUGGGACUCCUCCUACAGCUCCCCCCUCAGCCAGCACACCAACCGCCGCAGCCUGUGUUAGACUGGCUCCACACUGCCGUUCCUCCUCACUGCCAGCAGGGGGAGACAUUCUGCAGGCAAGCGGAAGGACUUCCUCUCCAGUGUCUGUCUUCUUCACUGAUGCCUCAAGCAAAUACCCGGAGCACACUAGUAUUGCCAAUCCAUGGAGCGGGCUUUCAUUCCUGCUAAGGUUUAGCCAGCACAGCCAUCAAGAAGGCUAACACUGAUUUUAAAUGAUUUACGCUGUAUAUAUCAAGGUUUCAAAUAUAGAUGUACUUUUUAGUAGCCAGGCACUCCUAAUUGGAUGCUUUCAUAUAAUGUUUUUUAGGUAUCGAGUACACAAAACUACUUCCUUAGUUGUUUUAUAGAUUUCAUCCACCAGGCUGCAGUUACUUGGACUGCAACCUGGUGGAUUUUUUUAACAGCUGAAAACAUACAAGUCAAUGCAACGAGAAAGAAAAUGCAACUAGAAAAUGCAACAACAAAGAAAAGUCCCCAGUAAAAAUAUUCAAAAUAUUCAUAUUAAUAAAAAUAUUUUAUAAAUAAAAUAAAAAAUGCUCUGAAGAAGGUCAUUUUGACCGAAAGCUGAGCUAAUUAAACUAGAUUUGCAGUAUACUCGGUGUGCCAAGUUCUUCUUUUAUUAAUCGAUUUUUGUUCUUGUAACUGAGCCAUAAUUGGGCUGAAUGUGCGGAAAUAGUCUUUUCACUAUUUACAUAUUUUAUAAAUUGCAAACACACAUGUCCUAGGUCAUGUUAUGAUUACGAGGUCCCUUGAGAAAGAAACUUGUCUUUGAGCGCGAUCUGGCAAAGACAGCAAUAUAAUACAACAUAAGAUUUCCAUGUUAAAAGCAAACGCACUACAGUAUUUUAAUACAAAGUACCUGCACCGUGUCCGUGUCAAGAAACACAGUGUCCUACAACAUAGCGUAUUUGCAAUCUUGAAAAUGUUUUACGAGCAUGGGAUUUAAAGUGGGAUUAUUUCCCAUCCAAAGUGAAUCCUCGAAAAUGGCCUUUUUAAAUAUUUGUGAGUGACCUCGGGGCAUUUAAAAAAGUCACUUUGGUGAAGCGCGGCUGAUAACUGCUCCGUAGUGAGAGGGAGGCAGGACGUGACCCAGUAUUGAUUCUGAACUAAAAUACGCCCAUGCAGCCCCAUCUCGCACGUGGAGGCUAUGUGUGUGUAUAUAACAUCGCCAUAGUGGAUGACUUCCUUCAGUUCUUUUUUUAAGACGUGGUGCUCUAGGAAAUAAUGAAUCUCAGGGAGAAAUGUAACUUUUCUAUUCAAGGCUGGACUUUUUAAAUGUAGCGAUUAAGAAACGAAUGUGAUUGUGUUUGCCUUGUCAGGAGGACCUUCACUUUUAAUUGAGCAUUUGGUUUAAAUUUUUGUUUUAUUCUGCUAGUGUUUUCACUUUAUCUUUCUUACUAUGACUCUCUAUGGUAGCUGAUUUGAAUGAACCUCACGAUGAUUUCAUACGUACAGGAAAUGGUCUGGGUAGCCUUUGAUGGGUAAAAUUUUGCUGUACUUGUAAACAAAACCAUUUAUAUAGGCCUACCUCUGAACUUUGGAGCAUUGAGUACAAAGAGCUGAAAGCAAUAUGAAAUAAUUGAACAACGGUCUGGAGGGACAACCCCCAGAAAGUGUACAUCGUUGCAGUUUAAAUAAAAGCACUUUAAUAUUA